rnacentral:rRNA from 1 species
CACGUAGGGCGCAAGCGUUGUCCGGAAUUAUUGGGCGUAAAGAGCUCGUAGGUGGUUUGUUACGUCUGCUGUGAAAACCUAGGGCUUAACCCUGGGCUUGCAGUGGAUACGGGCAGACUAGAGGUAGGUAGGGGAGAAUGGAAUUCCUGGGUGUAGCGGGUGAAGUGCGCAGAUAUCAGGAGGAACACCGGUGGCGAAGGCGGUUCUCUGGGCCUUACCUGACACUGAGGAGCGAAAGCGUGGGGAGCGAACAGG